AGUAUCAAGUGUGCUCUUAAAUCAGGAAUUGCAGGACUUGAGAAAGGUUUUACAGGACAUAUCAAACACACUGGAAAAGCUUUCCAGUCGUCAGAUUGUUGCUGGAACUGAGGACAAAUUUCACGAUGUUAUGGGCCACUUUAUAGCGGAGGCAUCUGAUGAUGUUCAGAGCAUACUCCGUCUCCAGGCCACCGCGAUGGAUGAGUUUCACCCUGUUACUGCGUACUUAGGAGAGGACUCCAAAAAAAUGGGAACCAGCGAAUUAUUUGGGAUAUUUUCCGACUUUCUUAUUAAGUUUGAGGUGUG